GUAGGUGAACCUGCGGAAGGAUCAUUAAAGAGUAAGGGUCUUCUAGGCCCAACCUCCAACCCUUUGUGUACCUACCUUUGUUGCUUUGGCGGGCCCGCUGGGGAGACCCACCGCUGGCCUCGGCUGGUGAGUGCCCGUCAGAGUCCACCUAAACCCUGUUUAUCAGUGAAGUCCGAGUAUCGUACAAUAGUUAAAACUUUCAACAACGGAUCUCUUGGUUCUG
rnacentral:misc_RNA from 1 species